AUUGAACGCUGGCGGCAGGCCUAACACAUGCAAGUCGGACGGUAGCACAGAGAGCUUGCUCUUGGGUGACGAGUGGCGGACGGGUGAGUAAUGUCUGGGGAUCUGCCCGAUAGAGGGGGAUAACCACUGGAAACGGUGGCUAAUACCGCAUAACGUCGCAAGACCAAAGAGGGGGACCUUCGGGCCUCUCACUAUCGGAUGAGCCCAGAUGGGAUUAGCUAGUAGGCGGGGUAAUGGCCCACCUAGGCGACGAUCCCUAGCUGGUCUGAGAGGAUGACCAGCCACACUGGAACUGAGACACGGUCCAGACUCCUACGGGAGGCAGCAGUGGGGAAUAUUGCACAAUGGGCGCAAGCCUGAUGCAGCCAUGCCGCGUGUAUGAAGAAGGCCUUCGGGUUGUAAAGUACUUUCAGCGGGGAGGAAGGCGGUGAGGUUAAUAACCUUGCCGAUUGACGUUACCCGCAGAAGAAGCACCGGCUAACUCCGUGCCAGCAGCCGCUGUAA
rnacentral:rRNA from 1 species